UUCGGAAAGACACUAAGCGGAUUAGUGGCGAACGGGUGAGUAACGCGUGAGUAACCUGCCUUACACAAGGGGAUAGCCUUUGGAAACGAAGAAUAAUACCCUAUAAAACUAUAAAAGCACAUGCUAGAAUGGUCAAAGUGCUAGCGGUGUAAGAUGGACUUGCGUCUGAUUAGCUAGUUGGUGAGAUAAAAGCUCACCAAGGCAACGAUCAGUAGCCGGCUUGAGAGAGUGUACGGCCACAUUGGGACUGAGACACGGCCCAGACUCCUACGGGAGGCAGCAGUGGGGAAUUUUGCACAAUGGGGGAAACCCUGAUGCAGCGACGCCGCGUGAUUUAGAAGGCCUUCGGGUUGUAAAAAUCUUUUGUAUAGGAAGAAAAUGACAGUACUAUACGAAUAAGGUCCGGCUAAUUACGUGCCAGCAGCCGCGGUAAUACGUAAGGACCGAGCGUUGUCCGGAAUCAUUGGGCGUAAAGGGUACGUAGGCGGCUAGAAAAGUUAGAAGUCAAAGGCUAUAGCUCAGCUAUAGUAAGCUUCUAAAACUAUUUAGCUUGAGAAAUGGAAGGGAAAGUGGAAUUCCUAGUGUAGCGGUGGAAUGCGCAGAUAUUAGGAAGAAUACCGGUGGCGAAGGCGACUUUCUGGCCAUUAUCUGACGCUGAGGUACGAAAGCGUGGGUA
rnacentral:rRNA from 2 species